GAACCCCACCAUUGCCACCGUCCGCAACGGGCCGGUGGCAGUCUGGAUCGCGACCUCAGGUCAGGCGGGGCCACCCGCUGAGUUUAAGCAUAUCAAUAAGCGGAGGAGAAGAAACUUACGAGGAUUCCCCUAGUAACGGCGAGCGAAACGGGAAGAGCCCAGCUUGAGAAUCGGGCAGCCCCGCUGUUCGAAUUGUAGUCUGUAGAAGCGUCCUCAGUGACGGACCGGGCCCAAGUCCCCUGGAACGGGGCGCCGGAGAGGGUGAGAGCCCCGUCGUGCCCGGACCCUGCCGCAUCACGA
rnacentral:rRNA from 1 species